rnacentral:rRNA from 1 species
UACGUAGGGGGCAAGCGUUGUCCGGAUUUAUUGGGCGUAAAGAGCGCGUAGGCGGUCCGAUAAGUCGGCUGUGAAAGUCAGGGGCUCAACCCUUGAAAGCCGGCCGAUACUGUCGGACUAGAGUCCGGAAGAGGCGAGUGGAAUUCCCGGUGUAGCGGUGAAAUGCGCAGAUAUCGGGAGGAACACCGGUGGCGAAGGCGGUUCUCUGGGCCUGACCUGACGCUGAGGAGCGAAAGCGUGGGGAGCGAACAGG